rnacentral:sRNA from 1 species
AUUUCAAGCUCAGUGGUAGAGCGGUCGGCUGGUAACUGACUAGUCGGGCGUAGGUUCGAAUCCUACUUGAAAAGCUUCCCUGGACUUUUUUGACUCUCUGCUUACUCCAGCCGUAAGUAAACUCGUAGAAUGGGAUGUCAUCCGCUGACUCCUAAUUGCGAGAAGAG